UCUCAGGCAGAGUCAAGUGCUUCUUCUCCUA
rnacentral:piRNA from 1 species